rnacentral:rRNA from 1 species
AGCGAACGCUGGCGGCAGGCUUAACACAUGCAAGUCGAACGGGCUUCUUCGGAAGUCAGUGGCAGACGGGUGAGUAACACGUGGGAACGUGCCCUUCGGUUCGGAAUAACUCAGGGAAACUUGAGCUAAUACCGGAUACGCCCUUAUGGGGAAAGGUUUACUGCCGAAGGAUCGGCCCGCGUCUGAUUAGCUUGUUGGUGGGGUAACGGCCUACCAAGGCGACGAUCAGUAGCUGGUCUGAGAGGAUGAUCAGCCACACUGGGACUGAGACACGGCCCAGACUCCUACGGGAGGCAGCAGUGGGGAAUAUUGGACAAUGGGCGCAAGCCUGAUCCAGCCAUGCCGCGUGAGUGAUGAAGGCCUUAGGGUUGUAAAGCUCUUUUGUCCGGGACGAUAAUGACGGUACCGGAAGAAUAAGCCCCGGCUAACUUCGUGCCAGCAGCCGCGGUAAUACGAAGGGGGCUAGCGUUGCUCGGAAUCACUGGGCGUAAAGGGCGCGUAGGCGGCCGAUUAAGUCGGGGGUGAAAGCCUGUGGCUCAACCACAGAAUUGCCUUCGAUACUGGUUGGCUUGAGACCGGAAGAGGACAGCGGAACUGCGAGUGUAGAGGUGAAAUUCGUAGAUAUUCGCAAGAACACCAGUGGCGAAGGCGGCUGUCUGGUCCGGUUCUGACGCUGAGGCGCGAAAG